GGGAGAGCUGAUGUUAGCUGUCUGGAUAGGGAAUCAAGCAGAUGAUGCAUUUUCGGUUGCUUGGCAUGCUGAUACUGCUGCUGUUAGUAGUCAAAGUGUAUCGAACACACGUUCUAAGAUAUAUGUAUCACCAAGACUCUGGUAUCUUAGAGUUGAUGUGAUUGGGGCACAGGAUUUGGUGCCUACAGAUAGGAAUAGGAAACCACAAGUUUAUGUAAAGGCUAU
rnacentral:misc_RNA from 1 species